ACAGGCUUGAUCUUCUCAUGUUUUAAACAAUGCAGCAUCUCUAGGAUUUAGCUAUGCUUUUUAGUACAAGUUUACAUUUUACCAAAUAUAAUUUAUAAGUAAUUAAUCUUUCUAAAUUUGUUUUAUUAUACUCUUAAUGGAUCUCUAAUAGAAGACAAGGAUAACUUUAUUUUUAUAUUAUAUAAACAAUAUAACAAUGUGUAAAACAGAGAUUGUGAUUUGAACCCAUUUAAAACAAACCAACAAACAAACAAACAAAAAAAUCAUCUGUCUAUAGCCUCAAUGGAGUAAAAUAACCCUGGUGCAGAAAACAAGGCACAAAAGAACAAUUAUGUCAACCUCAAUUCCAGUUUUCUUUCUGUAUUGUAUUUUUAUUUUCACUACUAAUUUCUAAGAAUGGAUGUCAUUCCUUAUAAGCUGGUACUUUCUAACAUCACAUCCGUGUCCUAUCGAACCACAGCAGUAGAAACAGUCACGGAUCACCCUUCUGGUUUGUGUGCCAAUUUGAAGUGUAAUAUGUGUGUAUAAGAAAUCUGUGAGCUGUAGCAACACUUAUUAAAAAGCCCCAUUAUACUUGGUGUGUGUUAAGCGGGAGGGCUCUUGUUUUCUGACUAACACUUUGGUGUUUGAAUUGUGGUAAACCAUGUAACACAAACUCGUGAAUUGGGGGACGGUGGAGAUGAUUUCCCGUGACUCCUUUUGCUGCAUAUCAUCAAUUUGCUUUUGACUCAUGUUUCUCCUGCUGUCGCUGUAAGCUUACUUGUUGUUUUUUCUUUCCUUUUCUUCAUGCUGUCGUUUAGAGCCCUACAGAGAGACAAGUAUGGGAGUAAAGCUAAACAUUGCAUAUCAAAUGUAAUUUUUUUCAGUUCACUUUUAUUGCAUCACAUAUAGAUGAUGUAGUUAUUAAAAACAGUUCAUCUCACAAUUUCAAAAUUUAAAAGGAAAACGAACCUAUCAGUCAACUUCUAUAAAUAUCUGCCGAUAGAGAUUAGACGCUCUCGUUGCCUGAUUCUUUUAUUCUGUCACAUAACCAACAUAAUUGUUAAGUCUCAUGUAUUGUUUGUGUGAGUUAAAUUGUUUUUAAAUUAAGCAUUUAUUUUCCUUUGCAAAGUAACCCAUAAACUUUUAAUUUUACUUAGUGCAUUCCAUCAUUAAACAUGUGUCCCAUUGCAAACAUGCCCACUUUAUUUUCUACCGCUGCUUUAACCACAAUACCAAAUGCAUUGACAACGAAAUUAAAGAAAAAAAAGUUUCAAUGCAUCAGCAACAUAAUCAUAACCGUUUAACAUAUCAUACCAGCCACUCUAGCAGCAGUCACCUGUCAUACCAGCACUUUUAAAGCAUUUACUUUUUUUUCCUUAACAUUGUGAAUUUGUGUACCAGAUAUUUUAUGACAUGAAAAUAAACCGCUUCAACCUAUGUCUGUGGUGGCUGCUUGUUAAUGGAUUUUAUGAAUUGCUCAUUUUGAAAACUGUUUUGUGUGAAUGCAAAGUAUGCAAAAGUCCAUGUGAAAUUGGCGUGAACAUGUGACAUGUCCUUUCAACUGUCAUUGAACCGGCUUGUCAGAAACAUAAUUGCAUCACAGAUAUAGAAUGAGCGCGAUAUUUUCACAAUUUAGAAGUGUAUCCAGAGGUUUAAGAAAAUCCUUCAAGGAAAUUUUUGGACGUACCCUUUCUUAUUUAUCAGCAUUGGUUAAAUGUGUAGGUGAUUUUUUUUUUUUUUGUGGAUGUACUUAAAGUAAUUUAUGAAGCUAUUAUAGAUGCUUGAACUGGUUAUUCAAGAGACUGCAAAAAUCCUUGAAGUCUGUGGUUAAACUUAUUUUCCUGCAGCUGUUUCUUACCAGAAUAAAAUGUGUAUCUUCCUUAAAAGUAAAUUUUGAUAUGUCCCAAGUUAACAGUCAUCAUAAGAGGAUAACUUUAAUAAUAUUGUGCUUUUAGGAGUCAAAUCCUGUGUUUUUACACAUUCUUAUGUAGUAUUCCCCAGUGACCCUAAACAAUAACUGUUCAGUUAUUAUACAGUAAUGACUAACGUGAUU
rnacentral:lncRNA from 1 species